UUCACGUGUAGUGAAAGGUUUCACAUUUAGUGAAAGGUUUCACAUGUUCUGUCAAAUGGGAAGCGCCUACCAUUUACUCAAUUUGCAGAAGAGUGUACGUGUUUGUUUGCUGUCAGUAAACAAGGCAGACGAUCAAAUUAUGGCACAGAAAAUCAAGUGAAACUAUAGUGCAUUUAUAGAUAUCUUGAUGCUGGAAGGGAUGGUUGACAUAAAGUAGAA